CAACAGUUGGAAACGACUGCUAAUACCGCAUAACACAUUCGGAGGGGCAUCCCUUGAAUGUACAAAGAUUUAUUGCUGAAAGAUGGCCUCGCGUCUGAUUAGCUAGUUGGUGAGGUAACGGCUCACCAAGGCGACGAUCAGUAGCCGGUCUGAGAGGAUGAACGGCCACAUUGGGACUGAGAUACCGGCCCAGACUCCUACGGGAGGCAGCAGGUGGGGAAUAUUGGGCAAUGGGGGAAACCCUGACCCAGCAACGCCGCGUGAAGGAAGAAGGCCUUCGGGUUGUAAACUUCUUUUACCAGGGACGAAGAACGUGACGGUACCUGGAGAAAAAGCAACGGCUAACUACGUG
rnacentral:rRNA from 1 species